GUUCACGGUGACGGGCCUGCUGGUCGUACCACGUCUUCCGACUCCUUUGGGCCUCUCGUUGGUUGACUUCUGCCUCUUCCCUGUACUUUGCCAACCGUUCUCUCAUCUCCAGGACAAACUGGAUCACACCCCUUUCUGAGGUCUUUGUGGAUUUGGCCUCCCAGCUCUUCUUGAGGAGAUCCAGUGGGCCUUGGACAUCCCAGCCAUAGAGGAGUUCGAAUGCAUCCUCUUCAGGGUCUGGUUGAAACGUUCCACCAAGCCAUUGGUCUGUGGGUGGUACGGUGUCGCCUUGAUGGCAGUGAUGCCAAGCUGCUGUUGGAACAGUUUCAUCAACCGAGAGGAGCUGUAAUGGUGCGCAGGGGAAAAGCUUCUGGGAACCGUGUAGCAUAAUCACAGACCACCAGGAUGUAUUCGUGACCGCUACUGCUCUUAGGUUUUGUGACGACCCAGGUGACCCGCCCAUGGGAGUGUGUGCGCUAAUUGCAUGACGAGUGGCCUGCAGGUGGUUGGAAGAACUAACCGUAGGUGUUCACCUUCAGCUGCAUACAGAACAUCAUCAGCAACAAUAAACCGCACAUUCCCCAAACAUUUGUCACUCUCUGUUGUCACCUUGGCAAACAAUGGUUUUAAAGUUUGGUCUUCUUUCUGCAAAGCCGAAAUGUCAGCUGGUAUGUCAAAUGUUUCUGCUGUUGUGAUCUCAGGAUCCAGCAACUUAAGUUUCUUCUCAAACCGUUUUUGACGACGGGAUUUUCUGGGCAUUUCUUUGCCUCCAUCAAAGAAAUCGUCAUCCAAACGUGGAAGACCUUGCAUUCCCGCUUUAGCCUGAGCUCUAGUUAGCACAGGUGCUGAGACAGUAACAGCUAGCUCAUCAUUAGCUUUAGCUGUUUCAGUAGCCUCAUUUAAUAAGUCCCCCAACAUAGGUAAAUCACACCCCAAAAUUAAAUCAACAGGUAGGUUCUCUACCACCCCGACAGUCAAAAGAUAGUAUUGUUCAUUUAUGGUCACUGUUACAUCCGCUUUUGGGUACAAAUGUUGGUCGCCAUGAACACACACAACACUUGUUUGCCUGCUAUAAUCAAGUCCACCAAAAGGGAUUAAACUCUGUUUGACCAGAGAAAAAAAACUGCCCGUGUCCAACAUAGCAGUAACCUGCUGUCCGUUCACAGUCACCUGUUUAAGUGGCUGGAAAGUGUCUUUGUCCAUGUGCACAGGCCCUGCUCCUGUGACAGUCUCUGGCCUGGGUGCGUAGCAAGCACCUGUGAAUUUAGUCUUGCGGAUUGGACAUACGGAGGCUUUGUGACCAAUCUGCUGGCAAUAGAAACACACAAGGUCUCAGUGGAGCGGUUUGAAUGGGAAGACGCUGAUCCCCACCCGACGGCCGUGCAGACGCUCCUCGUCGAGCGUUGAGAUACUGCAGCGCAAGCCGGGCAGCGGUGAGGCCAUCCUCCGGGUCGUGCUCCUUCACCCACGUCCUCACGUCAGCUGGAAGCACACGCAGUAGCUGCUCCAGGAUGACGAUCUCCCCGAUCUGCUCCUUGCUGUGUUGCUCUGGGCGGAUCCAGCGACGGUAGAGGCCCUUCAGGCGGUGGUAUGUCUCAGUCGGAUUCUCCCCAGAUGGCACCACAGUAGACCGGAACUGCUGACGGUAAGUCUCUGGCGAGAUGUCAAAUUUUACCAGGAGUGCGUCUUUCAGGUCCUUGUAGAUGUGGGCUUGCUGCUCGUCCAUUGCUGUGUAGGCCUCCAACGCCUUUCCGGACAGCAGUGGCACCAGGCGACAUGCCCACUCAGUCUCUGGCCAUCUCCACGUCCUGGCAAUCCGUUCAAAACGUAGCAGCUGGAGUCCUCCUGUGCCACUGGAUGCCGUCGACGGGACGUUGCAGCUGGUGUUGGCAGAUCCAACCUUGGGCUACUCACUGCGGCUGAGCUUGGUCCAGCGGCUUUGGGACUGAUGUUACGCCGCCGACCAGAAUGGUGCUCUGCCCUGGAAAAAGAGGCUUCCAAACCUUGGAGGGCAGCGAUGAAUCUGUCCUCCCGCUGCUGCUGUCCACGGAGGAAGUCUUCCAUCAUAGCCGCCAAGUCACCUUCUGGGCCUUUGGUCAGGCCUGGAGAACCACCAGAGGCACCAGGAUCUACCACCUCCUCCUCAGAGGAUGAAUUGGACAACAGAGGGACUGCAUCCGAUGUUGGUUCCGUCUCCUCCUUCUGGGAACGCAGACCUCUGUGUCUCACCUUUUUGCGGCCAGCCAUCUGCUUAUCCCACUUCUGACACCAACUGUCGUGGGUCCCACCAGGGAAUGAUUGGGCAGAGGCGCCAAGGUGAAAGUAUUUUUGACUUUAAUGCAAGA